AUUGAACGCUGGCGACAGGCCUAACACAUGCAAGUCGAACGAGUGGCGGACGGGUGAGUAAUGUCUGGGAAACUGCCUGAUGGAGGGGGAUAACUCCUGGAAACGGUAGCUAAUACCGCAUACCAUCAGAUGUUCCCAGAUGGGAUUAGCUAGGUGGUGGGGUAACGGCUCACCAAGGCGACGAUCCCUUGCUGGUCUGCGAGGAUGACCAGCAACACUGGAACUGAGACACGGUCCAGACUCCUACGGUAGGCAGCAGUGGGGAAUAUUGCGCAAUGGGCGCAAGCCUGAUGCAGCCAUGCCGCGUGUAUGAAGAAGGCCUUCGGGUUUUACAGUACUUUCAGCGGGGAGGCGUUACCCGCAGAAGAAGCACCGGCUAACUCCGUGCCAGCAGCCGCGGUAAUUC
rnacentral:rRNA from 1 species